UUUUUAGCUCACCUGAGCCAAAGGCUCAAGUGAGCUUUUCUGAUCACAAUUUGUCCGUUGUCUGUCGUUGUCGUUGUCGUCGUCGUCGUUGUUAACUUUUCACAUUUUCAUCUUCUUCUCAAGAACCACUGGGCAGAUUUCAACCAAAGAACAAGGGGCAGUAAGCAUAUAUUAUUUGCCCAAUAUUUUUUAAAAUUUUCAAACAAGCUCAAUCAUUGACAUGAUUUGAUUUUUUUGUUGAUGGGAUGUUUAUUUUUCAAUAUGUAGUCGCAAAAUUGUCACCGAUGUUUUUUAGUAGAGUUAUCCCUCUUUUGAUUUUAGUAAUUUUCCGGAUAUCGCGUAUUUCCUAUGAUAUGGUCACAUUCCCAACAAGAAUUAGAUAUGGCUGCAUGCAAACAACACGGUAAAAUUUUAACAGAUUAAUCAAAAUAACGAAAGAAUUUUAUUCUCAAAAUAUUUUUUUGUUGUUUGCAUGCGGCCACUGUUAAAAAAAUAAAUUAUGUUGUUUUACGAUGGGCGAAUUUUUCGGUUCCGGUUUCGGUUUUUAUACACAGCAGACGUAAACAAAAGUGAAAGUCAGACGACAGCAAUAGAUAUGAAGGCAAAAUCAUUUCAUUAACUGUUUGUAGCAUCUUUGACAAAUGGUGAGCUUCAAGAGAGCUAUGGGAAUUCUGAAAACAUGCAUACAAGGGUGACAUAGAUCCCAUGAAGUAAUGCUGCAGAAUGAAAUCUCAGUGAUCUGAUUGUUGCUGUUUUUCUUACUAUUUAAAAGCUUGCAAAGGAAUAAACAGUGCCAAGCACACGAAUUAUGAAAGUGAUUGAUAUCAUCUGACAUGGUAAAUUAUGACAAUCUUGGUGAUCUGCCGAUAUGGAUAGUCACUACAUUUCAGGAACACAAUAUCUUAUAUGGAUUGAACAUUUUUUCUGGAGCCAUUACUUAAUUAAUGCAUGUGUGGUACAGCCAAUAUCGCACUGGUGUGAAAGUUAAUGGGGUCAGUUCUUUGAUACCUUGAUUACUAAAGACACACACUCUCUAUGGAAGAGCUACUCAGGACUGUGUUUUCAGCAAUUAUGGGUAGUUCAAAAAGUUAAAGUGAAACAUAUAAGUGACAGCGAUUUUAAGUCAAUGAAAUUCAUUGUUCCUUUUUUUAGCUCACCUGAGCUGAAAGCUUAAGUGAGCUCAGCUAUUCUAAUCACUUUUUGUUUGGCGUUCGUCUGUCUGUCUGCUUUUACAUUUUCGACUUCUUUUCCCGAACCACUGGGCCAAUAUCAACCUAACUUUGCACAAAUCAUCCUUAUUUAGGUAAAGGGAUUUAAGUUUAUUAAAAUGAAGGACCACACCUUCCCUCAAAGGGAGAUAUUUAAGAAUUUUUAAAAUUUGUUGGUACAUGUUUCUUUAAAAAAUCCUCUUCUCAAAAACCAUUUGGCCAGAAAAGGUGAUACUUGUGUGAAAGCAUCCUCAGGUAGUGUAGAUUCAAGUUUGUUCAAAUCAUGGUCCCCGGGGGUAGGGUGGGGCCACAACUUUUUGAGCAAGAUCUACUGUACUUAUUUGUCAACAUAUUUUGAAUUUGAUAUUGUACACUAAGUGCUUAUUUGAUAAGCUUUUGUCGCUCAGGUGAGGGAUGUGGCCUUUAGGCCUCUUGUUUAAUGAUUUAGAAAUCUGUGAUAUUUUCAGUAGAACUAUUAUACUAUUUCACCCAACUGUAUAAACUAUAUAGAUAAAAAAUUGUUUUAGAUUAUGAAAUAUUUAAUCAAUUAUCUGAAGGUAAUUUACUAAUGCAUGCACUAUAAAAUUAUAACAAGGAGAAAAAUAUGCAAAAAUUUAAGAUUUUUUGUGAUGAACAUUAGUCAUUGGUGGUUAUGUUUGUUAAUUAUGUAAUGUGUGAAUGUUAGAGUUCACCUUCAUUGAAAUGAAGUAUCAAUUGUUUUAUUAAUAAAAAAACCAUAAUGAUUUUAUAAUGAAAUUGAGUUUUAGUCAUGUUAAGAAAAGAGGUUAACGUUGUGAUUAAUAUGUGGUAAUGAAUGAUGAACUAUGUCAUGAUAAAUUAUUAAACAAAUAUUGUCCCAUUAAAUCCCCCAAAUUCUUAAUCUACAUUGUCUCACUCCACCCAGCUGAACUUGGGUACUGGCAUAUGCUGGGGUGGACUGGUGUUCCAUUCAGGGGGAGUUUAUGACUCCCAUCCAUUUAGCAUCAUGCACAGAUACUGGGGAUAAGCACCGGCUCUUUAGCCUUCAUGGCACGGACAAGGAUUUAACUAACAACCCAUCCACCCCUGCCC